UGUCGAGUCAGGGGACAAUGGGAAUAGUGCAAGUCAACCUGUUAAUCGGUCUCUUACCGCUUUGAUCCCGAAUGUUAUGGAUCCAACUGUUGCUUAUUUUCCCCAUGGUUAUGCUUCUUCUACGUAUUACUAUGAAGGUUAUGAUGGGGCUGCCCAUGGUUCAGAUGAUUACUCGAGAUACGUAACCCCUGAUGUAGUUGAUGCGUCUCAUAGGUGUUUAUGUAGAUAACGGGUCAAUUAUGUAUUCUGAUGGGAUGACCUCCAUAAGUUGUUAGAUGAGAUGAUCAAUUGUGAUUCAUCAAGUAUACAUUAGGUUAUUGGGCAGUUGAGUAGGGGAGAUUACGAUGAUGCUUCUAGGGGAGAUUACGAUGAUUUAUCAAGUAUACAUCAGGUUGUGGUCUGUGGAUGCAUGCAUAGCUAUAUCAGUUUAUUUCAAGAACAUGCAUCGUAUUGUUGCAUAUCUUUGAAACCUUUAUGAUGGAGAAGUGUUUUGAGAGACUAGAUCAAGGGAUUCUUAAGGGAUUAUUUGAAGACCCGUAUUAACCAAUUGUGCGAAGCCCAUAAAAUUUUGCUAAACUGGUCUAAGGGGUUGCUUGAAGAUAUGUGACGUCAUAAUAGGCAGGGGCAUUUUGGGAAUACUGAAGAUUUUCUGGCCAGUAACGUUUGGGGUCAAAAUAAUUGUGUUGACCAGUUUUUGGGUCAAUAUAGAUGUGUUCUGCAAUUCUUAUGGACAUAUCAAAUAGUUCUAAUGUUUAUACAAAUCCAGGGGUAUUUUUGGAAUUUUGGAAGGAAUAUAGAGGCGAGGAAGCUGCAGUGUAACGGGUAUGGUAUUAGGGAUCAGUUUUUGGUGUUCAAACCGGGGGUUUUGAUUAGUAUAUGGGCUUUGGGCAUUGUUGUUUAUGCACUUUUAAUGGCUCUUAUGAAAAUGGUUGAAAGUCAAAUGAAUCAUGGUACUUUUUGGGUUGAUCUGGAAGUUUGGGAUGUUGCAAGAUUAUGUUUUUGGGUUAAAAGUGUUAUGGUUUUCAGGCUAUUGAAUUUUGUGGAUAUUUGCAUGUUUUUAACUG